UGUCAGAAAUCUGUUCCUUCAGCUGGCUCCACUGUUCUGGAUUUAAAGAAAUACCUAAAACAAAGUUUAAAAAUUCAAAGGUGAAAAUCUAUUUAAGCGUUGAGGAUUUUCAUACUUCCAACUAGAAUACUGUUUUAUCAAAAUUGCCACUUUAGGCUGGGCGCGGUGGCUUACACCUGUAAUCCCAGCACUUUGGGAGGCCAAGGCGGGU
rnacentral:lncRNA from 1 species